rnacentral:rRNA from 1 species
GAUGAACGCUGGCGGCGUGCCUAAUACAUGCAAGUCGAGCGAACGGACGAGAGGCUUGCUUCUCUGAUGUUAGCGGCGGACGGGUGAGUAACACGUGGAUAACCUACCUAUAAGACUGGGAUAACUUCGGGAAACCGGAGCUAAUACCGGAUAAUAUUUUGAACCGCAUGGUUCAAAAGUGAAAGACGGUCUUGCUGUCACUUAUAGAUGGAUCCGCGCUGCAUUAGCUAGUUGGUAAGGUAACGGCUUACCAAGGCAACGAUGCAUAGCCGACCUGAGAGGGUGAUCGGCCACACUGGAACUGAGACACGGUCCAGACUCCUACGGGAGGCAGCAGUAGGGAAUCUUCCGCAAUGGGCGAAAGCCUGACGGAGCAACGCCGCGUGAGUGAUGAAGGUCUUCGGAUCGUAAAACUCUGUUAUUAGGGAAGAACAUAUGUGUAAGUAACUGUGCACUUCUUGACGGUACCUAAUCAGAAAGCCACGGCUAACUACGUG